GGACUAUGUAGCCAUUAUAGGAUGUGAACAAAUCUUCUGAGGAACAAAUUUUAUGACUCGAUGUUACCUGAUGUAUGUUAUGGCUAAGCAUAUCAAUAAGCAGGUAAUUUUCUUGAGGGGGAUAUAUAAGAGUGAAUACGACAGCAAUGAAGUGUCUUUGCUUCGGCAAGACAUAUACUAAAAUUGGAACGAUACAGAGAAGAUUAGCAUGGCCCCUGCGCAAGGAUGACACGCAAAAUCGUGAAGCGUUCCACAUUUUU